rnacentral:rRNA from 1 species
AGCAGUAGCCGCGGGAAUACGUAGGUGGCAAGCGUUGUCCGGAAUUAUUGGGCGUAAAGGGCUCGCAGGCGGUUUCUUAAGUCUGACGUGAAAGCCCCCGGCUCAACCGGGGAGGGUCAUUGGAAACUGGGAAACUUGAGUGCAGAAGAGGAGAGUGGAAUUCCACGUGUAGCGGUGAAAUGCGUAGAGAUGUGGAGGAACACCAGUGGCGAAGGCGACUCUCUGGUCUGUAACUGACGCUGAGGAGCGAAAGCGUGGGGAGCGAACAGGAUUAGAUACCCCAGUAGUCCCUGUCUCUUAUAC